ACAGAGGUGCCAAGCGUUAGGCGGAAUCACUGGGCUUAAAGCGUGUGUAGGCGGUUCGUUAAGUACCUUGUGAAAUCCCACGGCUUAACCGUGGAACUGCUCGGUAUACUGGCGGUCUUGAGCAACCUAGGGGCGAGCGGAACAAAUGGUGGAGCGGUGAAAUGCGUAGAUAUCAUUUGGAACGCCAAUGGUGAAAACAGCUCGCUGGGGGUUUGCUGACGCUGAGACACGAAAGCCAGGGGAGCAAACGGG
rnacentral:rRNA from 1 species